rnacentral:rRNA from 1 species
UACGUAGGGACCGAGCGUUGUCCGGAAUCAUUGGGCGUAAAGAGCGUGUAGGCGGCCACUUAAGUCCUGCGUGAAAUCUUGCGGCUCAACCGCAAGCGGUCGUGGGAAACUGGGUGGCUAGAGUGCGGGAGAGGAGAGUGGAAUUCCUGGUGUAGCGGUGGAAUGCGCAGAUAUCAGGAAGAACACCCGUGGCGAAGGCGGCUCUCUGGAACGCAACUGACGCUGAGGCGCGAAAGCGUGGGGAGCGAACAGG